rnacentral:tmRNA from 1 species
GCUAAUAUAGCUAUAGUAAUAAACGUAAUUUAGAAUAGAGGUUGCGGACUCGGGGGCAGUACCCGACGCCUCCA